AACGAACGCUGGCGGCAGGCCUAACACAUGCAAGUCGAGCGAGGACUUCGGUUCUAGCGGCGGACGGGUGAGUAACGCGUGGGAAUGUUCCCUUCUUUACGGAAUAGCCCUGGGAAACUGGGAGUAAUACCGUAUACGCCCUAUUGGGGAAAGAUUUAUCGGAGAAGGAUCAGCCCGCGUUGGAUUAGGUAGUUGGUGGGGUAAUGGCCUACCAAGCCGACGAUCCAUAGCUGGUUUGAGAGGAUGAUCAGCCACACUGGGACUGAGACACGGCCCAGACUCCUACGGGAGGCAGCAGUGGGGAAUCUUAGACAAUGGGGGCAACCCUGAUCUAGCCAUGCCGCGUGAGUGAUGAAGGCCUUAGGGUUGUAAAGCUCUUUCAGCUGGGAAGAUAAUGACGGUACCAGCAGAAGAAGCCCCGGCUAACUCCGUG
rnacentral:rRNA from 1 species